UACGUAGGGUGCGAGCGUUGCCCGGAUUCAUUGGGCGUAAAGGGCGCGCAGGCGGCCCGGAAAGUCGGAUGUGAAAACUCGAGGCUCAACCUCGAGCGUGCACCCGAUACUGCCGGGCUUGAGGCAGGUAGGGGAGAUCGGAAUUCCUGGUGUAGCGGUGAAAUGCGUAGAGAUUGGAAAGAACACCGAUGGCGAAGGCACUUUACUGGGCUAUUACUAACACUCAGAGACGAAAGCUAGGGUAGCAAAUGGG
rnacentral:rRNA from 1 species